ensembl:lncRNA
GUAACAGUCUGAAGUAUGCAACACAUAGACAAAAGACAUCUGUCCUUAGAGUGCACUGUUGUCUUCAAGUGGUUGUCUUCUCCUACGUGGAUGGAAUUCAUUGCAGAUAACUCAAGGCAACAAAAAUUAGUCUUGUGGUUAGCCUGGGUUUUAGAUGACAGAGUAACAACUUGUUCAGUGUUCUUACAGAUAUCAUCACUUGUUAUUUAUUUCCAUUGACUACAAAGGAUGGAAAUACUGUUGUAGUCUUACAUAACUACUAAUUUAAAUGCUUAGGUAAAAUGGAUUCUGUCUGAGAUGCUUGGCUACUUUGGUGCACAAUUUAUGCCUCUGCGUAAGACACAGAUUUCCCUUUAACUGUCAGGCCCUGUAAUUAAUGAACAGACACUUCUGUUGAAGAUUUGAUGUAGCAAGAUUCUAUUAGUACAUAGGUCUCUCCAGUCAAGGCCUCCUAUUUAUUUCCAUGGAAAGUACCACAGAUACAAAGAACACAAUAAUGCUAUUUGAUAGAGCAAAUUCUCUUCUGCAAAACACUAUUUUUCAACAAUGGUGGUGACUAUAACUAUGCAGUUUUGCCAGCGAUGAACAAGAGUCUGCAUGCCACGCCCUUAAAAAUCUGCACCAGAUGAGGUGAUCCACUGGUGAUCCACUGUCGCCACUGCUGAAACACACUUCCUACUGCUUCACUGAGCUCACAUCCUCCGUUUGGUCUCCAUAAACAUUCAGCAAGCAUCAACAAGCGUGUGCCGUAUUUUCCUCAUGGAGGAAUUCAAUGACAUAUCUUUGCUUCAUGUGCAUUUCCAUGUCAGACAUUAUUUUGUCUCACUGCCCCUCUGCUGCCAUCUGUCACAUAGCAGCAAGAUGUAAUGGAAUAUUACAGAAUCAUAGAAUGGCUUAGGUUGGAGCGGACCCUGAAGAUCAUCUACUUCCUGCCCCUGGGUGCCUCCAGAGAUGGGGUGUCCACAACCUCUCUGGACAUCCAGUUCCAGCAUCUGAGUAAAAACUUUCUUCCUAACAUCUAGCCUGAAUCUCUCCUCUUUUAGUUUUAAACCAUUUCCCCUUGCCCUGUCACUAUCAAACUAUGUAAAAAGUAGCCCCUCAGUCCCCCUCCUGCUUGUAAGCUUACUUCAAGUACUGGAAGGCUGCAAUGAGGUCUCCCUGGAGCCUUCUCUUCUCCAAGCUAAACAUGCUCAAAUCCCUCAACCUUUCUUCAUAGGAGAGGUACUCUAGCCCUUUGGUCAUCUUUGCAUCUUUGCAGCCUUCAAUAUUAGCAGGAAGGUUCAACCUUUACUGCUGUACCACCACCACUGUGCCAACUCUUGCUUUUCUUUUUACUUGUUUGUUGAUACCGUGGCUGCAGUUCUUCCUCUGCCCUAAGGGAGGGAAACAGAAAAAGUGGAGUGACAGGGGAAUAGGAAAGAAAGAAAUUUAUAUGAGAAAAUAUGAGACAGAUGGACAAGUAAGAGAAGGAAAAAGCAGGGACAUAAAUUUUGAGGAAAGAGAAAGGAAAGGUUUUAUAGAAAGCAUUAGAAUAUAGAACACAUUAACAGAUGGACAGGGAACUAGGGAGAUGGACUGUUUACUGUCAGUGUUAACUGAGAAAAGUUUGAUUUACCAUAAAGAGUGACGCUUUAUUUUUUCCAACUGGAUGUUGGAUUCUUUUGUAGCCUCACUGUUUACAGAAAUGGAAAUUUGAAAACAUGGCCCAUUACAGGCAUCCAUAAAAGUAUUUAGAUUUUCCAGAAAUUCAGAGUGGAGGUUCCAAAUGAUGUUUCUUUAUUUUCAGAGCCUUGGCUGAGCUGGCAGAAGAGAUACUUUUUAAUUUGGGCUGUUUUCUAGGUGGUCCAAAGACUCUACCGCCUCACUGGAGCUGAAAGACUCAUCUGUUUGUGAUGCCCAGGCUUCCCUGCGGAGUCCUCACCAUAGUGUUAAAUCACCACUCCUUUGAUAUCGUGGUUGUUUGCAUAACAGAUUCCUUCUCCCUAUGGACUUAAUGGACCUAUACUGUCUUCUGCCUAUGGCAGACAGCAGAAAGAGAUGAGACUCUCGAGGGGAUGAUUCAUCCUCUUCAAUGAUAAGUAUCUGACACAGGUGGGUGUUAGUCAAAGUAGAAAAUGUACUGUAAAUUCACGUCUCUUUGCACUGUUCACUAUUUAAACAGUCUCUUAGUAGAAGAGCUUCUUACAUGAUUCUUGCUUUAGACAAGAGUCUCCUGCUGGAGAAUGAGACCUCCUGGAUGCUAGUCUGAGCAUUGCUUUGGUGUAGGCCACAUAACUGGCGGAGCACCUGGAAGAGAGAAAGCCCCUUGGGAAAGUAAUUGGGGAAAGUAAGAGGGUAUGUGUGAGAG